rnacentral:rRNA from 1 species
UACAGAGGGUGCGAACGUUGCUCGGAAUUACUGGGCGUAAAGCGCGUGUAGGCGGAGCUGCAAGUCAGAUGUGAAAUCCCCGGGCUCAACCCGGGAACUGCAUCUGAAACUGCGGCUCUCGAGUGUCGGAGGAGGGCGGCGGAAUUCCUGGUGUAGAGGUGAAAUUCGUAGAGUAUCAGGAGGAACACCAAUAGCGAAGGCAGCUCGCUGGGACGGUAUUGACGCUAAGGCGCGAAAGCGUGGGAGCAAAGCAGG